UUAUCAUGGCUCGUCAGCAGACACAAUAUACCAUACUCACAUGUAUUAUCAUGGCUCGUCAGCAAACACAAUAUGCCAGUACUAACACGUAUUAUUAUGGAUCGUAAGCA